CGUGUCCACUCACACGGCCGGCAGGGAGGGCCCGCAGAUGGAGGCCCAAGUGCCGGGGCUGCAGGGAAGGAAGCACAGCGUCCAACACGCACAGACCACACUUCCCUUUGUCUCAGUGGAGAAGGGAGUCCCGUUUACCGGAAAAUUCACACACCGUGUAACGGACACAUCGUCAGGCUAUCGCCGAUGAGCUCCGGAAAAUGCUCCCACCUGCGUGACUGACACCCCUGGAGGAGCUGUGGCCACCCCCCCUCCACCCCUUUCACCUGGGACGGCUGCCAUCCGGAAGGGCGUGGACUUGUUCAAGGACACAGACCUGGCCACCGCAGACCAGCAGAUGGAGAGCUUUUUCCAGCUUUUAUACAAAAAUAGCCACGCAGGUGCAGGUCUGCUGAGUCGGCGCAGGCCGCCCCCAGCCACAGCUGCGCCCCCUCGGUGAACGGGGUGCCAGACCACACUCCCGGGGCUCCCUCCACCGAGCGAGGCCUCCUCUCAUCAUUGUGAGGCUUCUGGGCACAGACCCCACCUUCAUUCCUGUGGUAUCUCUUGCCCGUCCCCCUCCAUAGACCCCACACCUCGCUCAGGUUCUUGAACAGAGUGCUUCUCAAUCAGCGGGGACAGACAGACAGGUGGACGGAUGGAAGGAUGGACAGAUGGACGGACAGACAGAUGGACAGACGGACCAAGCACGGAGUAAACAGUCAACACCCAGGUGCUGGCUGUCAUCAGUGCCGACGAGUCCUGGUGUCGCCUGCUCCCUGGGGCUGCCCCCUGGGUGGGGGUGGGAGAGUUACCUCACACCAGUGCUGGUUUGGCUCACCCAACCAGGCUCGUUAACCCGCCCUUGGCCCCACGACCCGCCCGCCCUCGGAGCUGGCUUCCCUCCUUCCUCCGGGCAGACACCUGCUACCUAUGCCCUGCAUCUGUGGACGGUGGCCACGCCAGCUUGUUCUCCAGCGGAUUUCUUGUCCCUGUACGAUGUGGAUUCACAGUCAUGUUUGGGAGAAGAGGGUCACGUCUCUCCUCCUGCCAGGCCUCUGUGCUGGUCCAGCCUGGACCACACCCCCCAGAAAUGCCCAGGACCGCUCAUCGACCGACCCAAUCCCCAAGUGCCCUCCGUUCCUCCUCCUUGCUCACAGCUCCGAGGUGACUCCUGGGCCAGCACCACGGGCUCACAGACGCUAUUCUCAGACAGGCUGGAGGCGAGUCUGAGACCGAGGCCGGGCCUCUCCUGCCUCCGGGGGCUCCACCAGAGCGGAAGGGAGAGGGAGAGAAACGUCAGUGAAGAG